AGGACGAACGCUGGCGGCGUGCUUAACACAUGCAAGUCGAGCGGUAAGGCCCUUUCGGGGGUACACGAGCGGCGAACGGGUGAGUAACACGUGAGUAAUCUGCCCUUCACUUGGGGAUAAGCACCGGGAACGGUGUCUAAUACCCGAUACGACCAAUCACUGCAUGGUGUGUUGGUGGAAAGUUUUUCGGUGGGGGAUGUGCUCGCGGCCUAUCAGCUUGUUGGUGGGGUAAUGGCCUACCAAGGCUUCGACGGGU
rnacentral:rRNA from 1 species